AUUUUGGACAAUGGGGGAAACCCUGAUCCAGCCAUGCCGCGUGGGUGAAGAAGGCCUUCGGGUUGUAAAGCCCUUUCGGUGGGGACGAAACGGUGCGUGCUAACACCACGCACUACUGACGGUACCCACAGAAGAAGCACCGGCUAACUACGUGCCAGCAGCCGCGGUAAUACGUAGGGUGCGGGCGUUAAUCGGAAUUACUGGGCGUAAAGCGUGCGCAGGCGGUUUGCUAAGACAGGUGUGAAAUCCCCGAGCUUAACUUGGGAACUGCGCUUGUAACUGGCAAGCUAGAGUGUGGCAGAGGGGGGUGGAAUUCCACGUGUAGCAGUGAAAUGCGUAGAGAUGUGGAGGAACACCGAUGGCGAAGGCAGCCCCCUGGGCUAACACUGACGCUCAUGCACGAAAGCGUGGGGAGCAAACAGGA
rnacentral:rRNA from 1 species